UCUGGCGGCAGUGUACCGGCUCCCAUCCGCGCAACCGCGGCCGCUCAAAUUGCUGGGUCAGCAGUUUUUCAACCUCCAUUGCGAGUCCUCCGAUGUCAGCCCAUCCCUCACCUCUCACCGCCGCUGUGGCCGCGGCCGAGGUUUCCUGACGCGCCUACAACGACUGCACGUACCCCAGGGCAUCACAAGCCGUCGCCCUCUCCACUACAUCAGCUGAUUAAUCUUGAGAAGAACCGCCGUUCUGCCCUCCCUUUGGCCUUCAAACCGAGCGGGAAGUUGGUUGACUUCGUCUCAGAGUUAGAAGUCAAGGUUCAGGAACACCCUCACCAUCAACCCCUCGCAACGGCAGCAGCAUUGCAAGCACAAAAUCAUGAUGUUGCGUUUUCUGACCAUCUUGUUGUCCCUCGGCUCCCUGCUUGCAACAACACCCAUCCACCUGAAGCCUGGUGCCCUCACGGCACACAUAGGAGAGGUCUUCCUCAUAGGAGAUGUGCUCCUCGUAAAAUAUCCAUAUACUUCCUUGACCAACACCACGGACACAAUCAGGAUAGUCUCAGAAAAACUACUCGGCAUGGCAGACGCCAUACGGGCUACCAAGACUAGGGAAUCAAAGGCACCUUCUAGUACCAACUCUCUGACUCUUUUUCAACUACUGGAGGAUAGGAUUCUGUUCUUACGGGGAAAAGUUGAUGAGGUAAACAUGGAUUAUAGUUUUCACUCAGUUCACUCACGGGUAAAGAGGGGGUUGCUCAACAUCGUUGGGUCCGCCUCAAAGUUCCUUUUCGGUACGGCUACCGACGAGGACGUUCGCGAUUUGCGGGACCACUACGCUCAUGUACUUUCCUUUGCUGCUGGAAAUCGCAGGGUGAUCAACGCCAAUUGUAGAAAACUUGCGCAAUUGCAUACUAACAUUGAGGAACUGCUAGAGCAGACAAAUAAGAUGGUAGAGGUUAUCAACAUAGUUGUCAAACAGAUCGACCAGGUGAAUCAGUUUCUCCUCCUAGAUCAGGCCUUGCAUGUAUUGGAAAACGUCAUUAACUCCGUCGCAACGGCUAAUCAGCAGGUUAUUAGCAACAUGGUUGAUGCAGCGCACGGUAGAGUCACACCUGCCUUGUUCCCUCUACACGAUUUGAGAACGACUGUCCAGAUCGGGUAUCAAAAUUAUAGCCUAACGCCUUUAUUCACCCCAGACAUGAGUCAAU